rnacentral:rRNA from 1 species
UGAGGGGUGGAGGUGACCGGUACUAAUAGGCCGAGGGCUUGUCCAUAGCUGCUUGCGUCCACUGUGCGGGUUCUGAAACAACAACCCGCCCACACGAUCUGUACCGGUCUGGUACGGGGUGUGGGGGAUAGUUUCAUAGUGUUUCGGUGGUCAUAGCGUUGGGGAAACGCCCGGUCUCAUUCCGAACCCGGAAGCUAAGCCCGACCGCGCCGAUGGUACUGCAUGGGGGACCGUGUGGGAGAGUAGGUCACCGCCGAAC